rnacentral:antisense_RNA from 1 species
AGGUCAGGCAUUCGAGACCAGCCUGAACAACAUGGUGAAACCCCGUCUCUACUAAAAAUACAAAAAAUUAGCCAGAGACAGGGUUUUACCAUGUUGUACAGGCUAGUCUCCAACCCCUGGGCUUAAGCAAUCCUUCUGCCUCGGCCUCCCAAAGUGCUGGGAUUACAGAGAUGCUCAAGCACUGAAUUGUCUUAAGAAAACAAGUAAGGUUUUGUCACCUAUCCUAUUUCUCACUGCAAGUUGAAAAAAAUCAAAUCCAAACACCACCACCCCUUCUAUGACAACAAACGGCUGUGGAGGUAAUCUUAUUUUCUUAAGGGUAGUUUCAUGAUGACAGUUUCAAAAAAUUACUGUGGAUAAAGAAAAAAUUGUCUCAAUGAAAUAGAAUUUUUCACUGAACACAGAAACCAUCUCAAUAGUUGCUGCUCCCUGGUUUCCAGGCCAUGCAACAGACAUCAAACUAGGAAGCCAAACUUUCAUGGACCUGUG